rnacentral:precursor_RNA from 10 species
UGUGGUACCGAUCCUGUGGUACCGACCCUGCGCGGCCGGUACUGAUCCUGCAGUACCAACCCUGUGCGGCCGGUACUGACCCUGCAUGGCUGGUACCAAUCCUGCACGAUCAAUCC